AACCUGCCUAAGUGUGGGGGAUAGCCGGCCCAACGGCCGGGUAAUACCGCAUACGCUCACUGGGUGGCAUCACCUGGUGAAGAAACUUUCGAGGCACUUAGAGGGGCUCGCGGCCUAUCAGCUUGUUGGUGGGGUAAUGGCCUACCAAGGCGACGACGGGUAGCUGGUCUGAGAGGAUGGCCAGCCACAUUGGGACUGAGAUACGGCCCAGACUCCUACGGGAGGCAGCAGUGGGGAAUAUUGCGCAAUGGGCGAAAGCCUGACGCAGCGACGCCGCGUGGGG
rnacentral:rRNA from 1 species